UACAGAGGUCUCAAGCGUUGUUCGGAUUCAUUGGGCGUAAAGGGUGCGUAGGCGGCGCGGUAAGUCGGGUGUGAAAUCUUGGAGCUUAACUCCGAAACUGCAUUCGAUACUGCUCUGCUAGAGGACUGGAGAGGAGAUUGGAAUUCACGGUGUAGCAGUGAAAUGCGUAGAUAUCGUGAGGAAGACCGGUGGCGAAGGCGGAUCUCUGGACAGUUCCUGACGCUGAGGCGCGAAGGCCAGGGGAGCAAACGGG
rnacentral:rRNA from 1 species